AACGUAGGACGCAAGCGGUAUCCGGAAUUACUGGGCGUAAAGCGCGUGUAGGCGGGUCUGUAAGUCUGUCGUGAAAGCUCCCGGCUAAACUGGGAGAGGUCGAUGGAAACUACAGGUCUGGAGUUUGGCAGAGGAAUGUGGAAUUCCGCGUGUAGUGGUGAAAUGCGUAGAGAUGCGGAGGAACACCAGUGGCGAAGGCGGCAUUCUGGGCCACAACUGACGCUGAGAUGCGAAAGCAUGUGUAGCGAACGGG
rnacentral:rRNA from 1 species